CACGUAGGGUCCGAGCGUUGUCCGGAUUUAUUGGGCGUAAAGGGCCCGUAGGCGGCUUGGUAAGUCGGGUGUGAAAACCCCAGGCUCAACCUGGGGACGCCACCCGAUACUGCCAUGGCUUGAGUCUGGUAGGGGAGUGCGGAACUCCUGGUGUAGCGGUGAAAUGCAUAGAUAUCAGGAAGAACACCGGUGGCGAAGGCGGCACUCUGGGCCAGUACUGACGCUGAUGGGCGAAAGCGUGGGGAGCAAACAGG
rnacentral:rRNA from 1 species